UUGAAAUUAUUAUUGGUCAUUGUAACUUGUAGACCCUUUGUGACCGAAGGUGGUGAAUAGGAGAUUUGACCUUCUAGGAAGCGUAUGCAGUGGUCCGGAAGGUGGUGUCGGCGAACUAGAAUUGAUGGGAUAGCUAAAGCCUGUCCACCAUCUGUGUGGGAAACCCUGGAGGGCCGUGCUAACUACAGGGGUGAAAAAAUGAUCAGAUACCUCCACCACUUUUUUGGUGUGGUACCAUGGGCAACCCGCACCGAACCCCUAAGUCCGGCCGCCGAUAUGAGGAACGUUCUCGACUAAGUGGAAGUGGGUGGAGCGUUCGCUCCUCUGUAUAACAUAUAGUCGGUCCCCUAGGAGACUAAGGGGGUGAGUCCCUGCUGCAAAUUUAUACUUGAGCGCUCGGGAUAGCCCUCAUGUUUAUUUUCCAAAAUAACAUUGCCUCCGGUUCACGGUCUUAAACCGUCCGUAGUGAACUGCCAAGAUCAUUACCGAAAGUUAACCCGAUCCACCCACAACUACUAAGCUUUGAGAUUGACCCGUGGCUCGAGGUUCUCCACUCAAGAUACUCAAACUCUGUUUACCGUGUGUCUGAACACAGAACUAUCCAAUUUGCGCAGGGAUUGUGGUUCGGGCGCAUGGACACGCAUCAAUCGAAAAGAGUGGAAUUGCAAUCACUGAUCUCGCACUCUUGAAGGCCCUGCCGUCCUGAUGCCAGGGGAUGGCGGUCAGCUUAUUCACCCUCGCUGGUGGGUGGGCACUCCCUUGGACCACCUUCCAAGCUCGAGAUGCACGGUUUAGUACAAUCUGGUCAAGUGCGCCCGUGAUGAAACAUCCAAGUAACUCGUCAGGGAUUCCUUGACUUAUGCUGAAAGCCAGAAAC
rnacentral:misc_RNA from 1 species